ensembl:processed_transcript si:ch211-77g15.32 si:ch211-77g15.32
AAAUCUUUACAGUCAGUUUUAGCAAGCACUGCGUCAACAUCAGUGUCCAGAAAUAUCCAGCAGCAGAACUUUAUUUACAUGAAGCAAGCCUUAAUCAACCAGAUAUACACUGCUAUCAAAGGAGUCCAUAAAUUCCAGCUGUGUUUGAAAAGUGCAAAGACACUGAAACACUACCGAAGGAGAGCAGCAUCAGAUAUAAUUCCUCAAAGGGUCGAAAAUGGGUGGUACUAACACAAGAGCUGAAAAAGCAGAGCGAGAACGUAAUGAAGCUCAAGCAAAAAAGCAAGAACUCGAGAAAGAAGUUCAAAAGCUACAACAAGAAAAAGAGUUUCAGCAAAGAACAGAAGAAGAAAGGAGAAGAGUGGACACAGAGAAUAGAAAUAGAGAACAAGAAGAAAAGACGAGGAUUCACAGAGAAAAGGAAACUUAACCACAAGUUAUCAACACUAUCAACUAAAGUUUCUGUCAACAGUUCUUUAGUGAAAUAAGAGAAAUUAUGGGAGCUAUUUAUUGUGUAAUUGCCCAUAGAGAAAAUAACUCAUAUUAGACUAUAAAUGAUUAAAACAUUAAAACAACUGUGACAUUGUUUAUUCAGAUCUAAUGUUUCAGAAAACAUGAUAUCAAUAUUAUCACUGUUUCCACUGUAACUUCAGAGCACUAGUGAUGUCAAAAAAGGUACAUUAUGUGUCCUCACCUUAAAUAAGAAACCAUCAUCGCAAUUGUUUUUGUCUGAAGUGACCUUGAAACAUGAUACACUUUUACAGCAUGAGUUACAAAGGGUACUGUUUACCUAUGAUUGCAUGACAAUUUAAUCUAUGUAAAAGAGAAACUAAAUCAUUGUCUAUUGACGUAAUACUUGCAGAUUCGUAAAAAGAUGCUUAAUAAAAUGCUUCAACAGAA